GACGAGCGCUGGCGGCGUGCUUAACACAUGCAAGUCGAACGGAAAGGCCCUGCUUUUGUGGGGUGCUCGAGUGGCGAACGGGUGAGUAACACGUGAGUAACCUGCCCUUGACUUUGGGAUAACUUCAGGAAACUGGGGCUAAUACCGGAUAGGAGCUCCUGCUGCAUGGUGGGGGUUGGAAAGUUUCGGCGGUUGGGGAUGGACUCGCGACUUAUCAGCUUGUUGGUGGGGUAGUGGCUUACCAAGGCUUUGACGGGUAGCCGGCCUGAGAGGGUGACCGGCCACAUUGGGACUGAGAUACGGCCCAGACUCCUACGGGAGGCAGCAGUGGGGAAUAUUGCACAAUGGGCGGAAGCCUGAUGCAGCAACGCCGCGUGCGGGAUGACGGCCUUCGGGUUGUAAACCGCUUUCGCCUGUGACGAAGCGUGAGUGACGGUAAUGGGUAAAGAAGCACCGGCUAACUACGUG
rnacentral:rRNA from 1 species